rnacentral:lncRNA from 1 species
GAGCCCGGGGAGGACCGGCCAAAGGGGGAAGGCUGAGGGAAGACUGGGGGCCUGUCCGGCCCCCGGUUUAGGGGCCCCACGAGCUAGUAGGCGGAUGGAUGAAGCUGCACCCCCAGUCGCUGUGCUUGGAGAUCGAGGCCAUUCGGCAGAGACAAGAGCUGGGGGCCAGCCUCCUCAACCCUCUGUGUGGUUCCCAGCCUUGGGGAGAGCCCCUGGAGGGCCCCGGAGGAACGGGGGCCCCCACUGAGGAGCCGAACACAAGCUCAGAGAAGCCGCAUGAAUCGCACAGCAGCUGGAAGGAGGAGAAUUCCUGGUCACUCAAAGAGAGGGAUGGUCAAAGAGCCGACGAGACGGGGACAAAGCCCCAAGACACGGCCGGACACCCAACCACCCUCUGGGGACCCCGGCCCGACGAUAGGACCCGCCCUGAUGCUGGGAGCAGCCCCAAGGAGCCAGCUGUCCAUCAGGCCUCGGAGCCUGUAAUGAGCCAACUGGUUUCGGCUGAGAGGAGGACAGGCUGGGGACAGAUCUACCCUCUCCCUUUGGCUGCCCCGAGACACAGGACUCCCACCUUUUCAGGGGCCCAGCCUCCCAUCCUGGGCCUCCUGUUCCUGCUGCUGCUGCUCUCUUUCCUGGUCCUGGUCUCCUCCAGGCCUCUGGCCUGGCCCCAACUCCAGCUGCACUACCUCCAGACCCCACCAGUGUGAGCCCCGAAGUCUCUGAUCCAAUAAACUCCCUCCAUGCCCCAUCCUCGAGUGCUGUUCUUGGGGGGAGGGCGGCAGCACAGGGAGUGAGUUACUUGGGUGCUGGCAUCCUGGAACCGGG